AAACUUUUCAGCUAGAGUAUGAUAGAGGAAAGCAGAAUUUCUAGUGUAGAGGUGAAAUUCGUAGAUAUUAGAAAGAAUACCAAUUGCGAAGGCAGCUUUCUGGAUCAUUACUGACACUGAGGAACGAAAGCAUGGGUAGCGAAGAGGAUUAGAUACCCUCGUAGUCCAUGCCGUAAACGAUGUGUGUUAGACGUUGGAAAUUUAUUUUCAGUGUCGCAGGGAAACCGAUAAACACACCGCCUGGGGAGUACGACCGCAAGGUUAAAACUCAAAUGAAUUGACGGGGACCCGCACAAGUAGUGGAGCAUGUGGUUUAAUUCGAAGAUACGCGCAGAACCUUACCAACACUUGACAUGUUCGUCGCGACUCUAAGAGAUUAGAGUUUUCGGUUCGGCCGGACGAAACACAGGUGCUGCAUGGCUGUCGUCAGCUCGUGUCGUGAGAUGUUGGGUUAAGUCCCGCAACGAGCGCAACCCUCACUUUUAGUUGCCAUCAUUAAGUUGGGCACUCUGAAAGAACUGCCAGUGAUAAGCUGGAGGAAGGUGGGGAUGACGUCAAGUCCUCAUGGCCCUUACGUGUUGGGCUACACACGUGCUACAAUGGUAUCUACAACAGGAAGCAAGACUGCGAAGUUAAGCAAAUCCCUAAAAGAUACCUCAGUUCGGAUUGCACUCUGCAACUCGAGUGCAUGAAGCUGGAAUUACUAGUAAUCGUGGAUCAGCGUGCCACGGUGAAUGCGUUCCCGGGUCUUGUACACACCGCCCGUCACACCAUGGGAGUUGGUUCUACCUUAAGGCAAGGUUUCAAACCCUUGACCACGGUAUAGUCAGCGACUGGGGUGAAGUCGUAACAAGGUAACCGUA
rnacentral:rRNA from 1 species